CCGAGCCCUUUCCAGGACGGCUCGAAGCCUUUGUCCCUCUCCAGGGCUGCCCCUGGAACAGACCCAGCGCUGUUGGGUUCCAGCUGCAGCAGCCUGUGCGAGGGCAGGCGGUGCCUGCUGCCUCCGGCCCGGCUGUGCCGUGGGGAGGGAGGAGGGAGGCCGGGGCUGUGAGGGCUCUGGAACACCCAGGAGUGAUGACAGAUCCUUCUGGGGCAAAGAUUGGCAUGAAACACUGACUGCUCAGGGAAAAAAAAAUAAUAAAAAAAAAGCUGUGAAAAUGUAAAAGGAAAAAGAUGAGUUCCAGUUUGCUACAAGGGCUGAAUGAGGGGAACCACCUCCCUUGAUGGAUCUCGGAGAUGAAGCAGCCCUUUCCACGAAAAGCCUUGGCUGGAGCCGUGUUUGCCAUCCGUGCCCGUCUCCUCCAUCCAGGCUGGGAGCGCUGGGAUGGAGCAGGAAAGGAGCCCCCGUGACACUCAACCUGCUCACCCGUUCCAAAAUAUUACACACGGACAGGAGCUUGCGCCUCCAGGGAUUCCCUGGGAUUAAAAAGCACCCAGGCACUGGACACCGGGCUUUUUCCCUAAUUUCCCAAUUUCCCAGAGUCCCUUCCUGGGUACAAGGGACGCCCCCAGCCCUAGAGCCGAUUGGGGCUCCAGUUUCACAUCCAUAAAUAAAUGCCAAAGUGAGCUCCGGUGGCUGAAGGGUUCCCCCCUAGCCCAGCCCGUGCAGUCUCCAGACACAAAUAAAUCCAUGGAGACAAAGGGAGCA
rnacentral:lncRNA from 1 species